rnacentral:rRNA from 1 species
GGGGAAUAUUGGGCAAUGGGCGAAAGCCUGACCCAGCAACGCCGCGUGAAGGAAGAAGGUUUUCGGAUCGUAAACUUCUAUCCUAGGUGAAGAUAAUGACGGUAGCCUAGAAGGAAGCCCCGGCUAACUACGUGCCAGCAGCCGCGGUAAUACGUAGGGGGCAAGCGUUGUCCGGAAUGAUUGGGCGUAAAGGGCGCGUAGGCGGCCUUUUAAGUCCGAUGUGAAAGUCCUGCUUUUAAGGUGGGAAUCGCAUUGGAAACUGGAAGGCUUGAGUGCAGGAGAGGUAAGUGGAAUUCCCGGUGUAGCGGUGAAAUGCGUAGAGAUCGGGAGGAACACCAGUGGCGAAGGCGACUUACUGGACUGUAACUGACGCUGAGGCGCGAAAGUGUGGGGAGCAAAC